AGUGAACGCUGGCGGCAGGCCUAAUACAUGCAAGUCGAACGGCAGCACAGUGGAGCUUGCUCCAUGGGUGGCGAGUGGCGGACGGGUGAGGAAUACAUGGGAAUCUGCCCAGUCGUGGGGGAUAACGUAGGGAAACUUACGCUAAUACCGCAUGCGCCCUUCGGGGGAAAGCCGGGGACCUUCGGGCCUGGCGCGAUUGGAUGAGCCCAUGUUCGAUUAGCUAGUUGGCGGGGUAAAGGCCCACCAAGGCGACGAUCGAUAGCUGGUCUGAGAGGAUGAUCAGCCACACUGGGACUGAGACACGGCCCAGACCCCUACGGGAGGUAGCAGUAGGGAAUAUUGGACAAUGGGCGCAAGCCUGAUCCAGCCAUGCCGCGUGAGUGAAGAAGGCCCUCGGGUUGUAAAGCUCUUUUGUCCGGGAAGAAAAGCAUCGGGCUAAUACCUCGGUGUUCUGACGGUACCGGAAGAAUAAGCACCGGCUAACUUCGUG
rnacentral:rRNA from 1 species